rnacentral:rRNA from 1 species
UACCUGGUUGAUUCUGCCAGUAGUCAUAUGCUUGUCUCAAAGAUUAAGCCAUGCAUGUCUAAGUAUAAGCAAUUAUACCGCGAAACUGCGAAUGGCUCAUUAUAUAAGUUAUCGUUUAUUUGAUAGCACAUUACUACAUGGAUAACUGUGGUAAUUCUAGAGCUAAUACAUGCUAAAAAACCCGGCUUCGGAAGGGAUGUAUUUAUUAGAUUAAAAGCCAACGCCCUUCGGGGCUUCCUGGUGAUUCAUAAUAACUUUUCGAAUCGCAUGGCCUUGCGCCGGCGAUGGUUCAUUCAAAUUUCUUCCCUAUCAACUUUCGAUGCGAAGGUAUUGUCUUCGCAUGGUUGCAACGGGUAACGGAGGGUUAGGGCUCGACCCCGGAGAA